ACGAUGUCGUGCGCGAUUAUUAAAAUUUCGAUUGAUAAGAUAUAAGAGAAUGCAAGAUAACAAUUUCUGGACAAGACAGUAAUUUUUAUAUUCAAAAGAAAUGUGUACGUCAAAUUAAAUUCUCGAUUCUACAAAUCAACCAUAUUCGCAAGUUAAAAAGAAGACCAAAAUGGGUUUAAAACGAUUUCGUGCUCAAUUGAGUAUAAGAAAAAAAUACUACAAUACAUCCGAUAUGGGAACUUAUCGUGCAAUAUCUCAUUCAAAUUCGAUUCAACCUACAGAAAAGCGUGAAUCAAAUAAUUCAAAUCAACCUAUUAAAAAAAAUGAACCGAAUAAAAUUGACCCUAACACGAGUUCUAAUAAAUCCUAAUAAUAAAAAUAUCAUAUAAGAGAAUCAUUUAGAAUAAUACCAAAAACAAAUGCAAAAAUUAAAGGAUAAGAAUCGUAACAAGAAUAUAUUAUGCUUAAUUACCUGGCUACUUUAGCAAGAGGAAAGUGUAUACAUAAUUUUUGAUAAAAUUCGCAAAACUCUUUAUACGAGCGAAAAAGAUACGUAGGAUCUGCUUGACCUUUUCUUUGUAUACGUAAAAUAUACAUAUAAUACUUUUCUGGAU